AAGGCAUCCGAAAAACGGUUCCGCGGGCAGAGCACUUGAAUGACAGGCCUGUGUGCAUGCCCAAGAGCUCUCGGAAGUCUAAUUUUUGACACUUUGUCAAAUUUUCGACAGACUUACCCAACUCUUGCUGCCUGUUCUAAGAAUCAGUCAGAGGCCUGUGCGGCGGUCUCUUGACACUUUGGAGGGCGGGCAAACCCCACGUUGACUCCGGCCGUCCCUCCAAAAGGCACUUGCUAUUGGGGGAAAGGAUUGCAAGUAGCCUGGUUCCCGUGGGAGCGGCCAGGAAGGGUGCAGGCUGGCCCUUGCCUGAGCAUUCCCAAAACCCUCUUCCGCUGAGAGCAGACCUCGCACGCCGCACUACCGGCUCUGGGAGUGGUUGGCCGCUAUUGUACAUAGUCCGGUCCUUCCUCUGCCACCCGGCAAGUGCGAUGGCUCUGCCGCCCUGCGGUGCUCGUCACCCAGGUUUGGGGAACACGAUACUUAGAACAUGUUGGCGGCUCGGGACCUGCAGGCGAAAGGGGCCCCGUGGUGCUGAGCACAUCGACCUCGGGUCUCAGUGCAAGCCGGAGAGUUCGCGGAAGUCUUAAAAGAUUUUGACAUCUGCUCAAAUCUUUGACAGGCUUGCCUGACUCUUUCCGUCCGUUCUAAGAAUCAGUCGGAGGCCGGGGCGGGGACGGUCUCUUGACACACGGAGGGUUGGCUUCCCUCCUCAGGCGUUUGUGUCGAAAAUGAAGGCGAGAGAUGCAAGCGUCCUGGUUCCCCUGGGUGCUGCCAGCAAGGGUGCAGGCUGACCCUUGCCUGAGCACUCCCAAAAGCCUCUUAAGCUGAGAGCAGGCGCCGCACUACCGGCUCUGGGAGUCGUUGGCCGCUAUUGUACAUAGUCCGGUCCUUCCUCUGCCACCCGGCAAGUGCGAUGGCUCUGCCUCCCUGCGGUGCUCGUCACCCAGGUUUGGGGAACACGAUACUUAGAACAUGUUGGCGGCUCGGGACCUGCAGGCGAAGGGGGCCCCGUGGUGCUGAGCACAUCGACCUCGCGUCUCAGUGCAAGCCGGAGAGUUCGCGGAAGUCUUAACAGGCUUGCCUGACUCUUUCCGUCCGUUCUAAGAAUCAGUCGGAGGCCGGGGCGGGGACGGUCUCUUGACACACGGAGGGUUGGCUUCCCUCCUCAGGCGUUUGUGUCGAAAAUGAAGGCGAGAGAUGCAAGCGUCCUGGUUCCCCUGGGUGCUGCCAGCAAGGGUGCAGGCUGACCCUUGCCUGAGCACUCCCAAAAGCCUCUUAGGCUGAGAGCAGGCGCCGCACUACCGGCUCUGGGAGUCGUUGGCCGCUAUUGUACAUAGUCCGGUCCUUCCUCUGCCACCCGGCAAGUGCGAUGGCUCUGCCUCCCUGCGGUGCCCGUCACCCCAGGUUUGGAGAACACGAUACUUAGAACAUGUUGGCGGCUCGGGACCUGCAGGCGAAAGGGGCCCCGUGGUGCUUAGCACAUCGACCUCGCGUCUCAGUGCAAGCCGGAGAGUUCGCGGAAGUCUUAACAGGCUUGCCUGACUCUUUCCGUCCGUUCUAAGAAUCAGUCAGAGGCCGGGGGGGAGGUCUCUUGACGCACGGGGAGGGGUGGCGUCCCUCCUCAGGCGCUUGUGUCGAAAAUGAAGGCGAGAGAUGCAAGCGUCCUGGUUCCCCUGGGUGCUGCCAGCAAGGGUGCAGGCUGACCCUUGCCUGAGCACUCCCAGAAGCCUCUUAGGCUGAGAGCAGACGCCGCACUACCGGCUCUGGGAGUCGUUGGCCGCUAUUGUACAUAGUCCGGUCCUUCCUCUGCCACCCGGCAAGUGCGAUGGCUCUGCCUCCCUGCGGUGCCCGUCACCCAGGAUUGGAGAACACGAUACUAAGAACAUGUUGGCGGCUCGGGACCUGCAGGCGAAAGGGGCCCCGUGGUGCUUAGCACAUCGACCUCGCGUCUCAGUGCAAGCCGGAGAGUUCGCGGAAGUCUAAAGCUUUUGACAUUCGCUCAAAGCUUUGACAGGCUUGCCCGACUCUUUCCGUCCGUUCUAAGAAUCAGUCAGAGGCCGGUGGGGAGGUCUCUUGACGCAAAGGGGAGGGGUGGCGUCCCUCCUCAGGCGCUUGUGUCGAAAAAUGAAGGCGAGAGACGCGAGCGGCCUGGUUGCUUUGGGUGCUGCCAGGAAGGAUGUGGUCUGACCCUUGCCUGAGCACAUCCAAAAGCAUGUGAUGUUGAGAGCAGACCUCGAGCCCCGCACAACCGGCUCUGGGAGUCGUUGGCCGCUAUUGUACAUAGUCCGGUCCUUCCUCUGCCACCCGGCAAGUGCGAUGGCUCUGUCGCCCUGUGGUGCCCGUCACCCAGGUUUGGGGAACACGAUACUAAGAACAUGUUGGCGGCUCGGGACCUGCAGGCGAAAGGGGCCCCGUGGUGCUGAGCACAUCGACCUCGGGUCUCAGUGCAAGCCAGAGAGUUCGCGGAAGUCUAAAGCUUUUGACAUACGCUCAAAUCUUUGACAGGCUUGCCCGACUCUUUCCGUCCGUUCUAAGAAUCAGUCAGAGGCCGGUGGGGAGGUCUCUUGACGCAAGGGGAGGGGUGGCGUCCCUCCUCAGGCGCUUGUGUCGAAAAUGAAGGCGAGAGAUGCAAGCGUCCUGGUUCCCCUGGGUGCUGCCAGCAAGGGUGCAGGCUGACCCUUGCCUGAGCACUCCCAGAAGCCUCUUAGGCUGAGAGCAGACGCCGCACAACCGGCUCUGGGAGUCGUUGGCCGCUAUUGUACAUAGUCCGGUCCUUCCUCUGCCACCCGGCAAGUGCGAUGGCUCUGCCUCCCUGCGGUGCCCGUCACCCAGGAUUGGAGAACACGAUACUAAGAACAUGUUGGCGGCUCGGGACCUGCAGGCGAAAGGGGCCCCGUGGUGCUUAGCACAUCGACCUCGCGUCUCAGUGCAAGCCGGAGAGUUCGCGGAAGUCUAAAGCUUUUGACAUUCGCUCAAAGCUUUGACAGGCUUGCCCGACUCUUUCCGUCCGUUCUAAGAAUCAGUCAGAGGCCGGUGGGGAGGUCUCUUGACGCAAAGGGGAGGGGUGGCGUCCCUCCUCAGGCGCUUGUGUCGAAAAAUGAAGGCGAGAGACGCGAGCGGCCUGGUUGCUUUGGGUGCUGCCAGGAAGGAUGUGGUCUGACCCUUGCCUGAGCACAUCCAAAAGCAUGUGAUGUUGAGAGCAGACCUCGAGCCCCGCACAACCGGCUCUGGGAGUCGUUGGCCGCUAUUGUACAUAGUCCGGUCCUUCCUCUGCCACCCGGCAAGUGCGAUGGCUCUGUCGCCCUGUGGUGCCCGUCACCCAGGUUUGGGGAACACGAUACUAAGAACAUGUUGGCGGCUCGGGACCUGCAGGCGAAAGGGGCCCCGUGGUGCUGAGCACAUCGACCUCGGGUCUCAGUGCAAGCCAGAGAGUUCGCGGAAGUCUAAAGCUUUUGACAUACGCUCAAAUCUUUGACAGGCUUGCCCGACUCUUUCCGUCCGUUCUAAGAAUCAGUCAGAGGCCGGUGGGGAGGUCUCUUGACGCAAGGGGAGGGGUGGCGUCCCUCCUCAGGCGCUUGUGUCGAAAAUGAAGGCGAGAGAUGCAAGCGUCCUGGUUCCCCUGGGUGCUGCCAGCAAGGGUGCAGGCUGACCCUUGCCUGAGCACUCCCAGAAGCCUCUUAGGCUGAGAGCAGACGCCGCACAACCGGCUCUGGGAGUCGUUGGCCGCUAUUGUACAUAGUCCGGUCCUUCCUCUGCCACCCGGCAAGUGCGAUGGCUCUGCCUCCCUGCGGUGCCCGUCACCCAGGAUUGGAGAACACGAUACUAAGAACAUGUUGGCGGCUCGGGACCUGCAGGCGAAAGGGGCCCCGUGGUGCUUAGCACAUCGACCUCGCGUCUCAGUGCAAGCCGGAGAGUUCGCGGAAGUCUAAAGCUUUUGACAUUCGCUCAAAGCUUUGACAGGCUUGCCCGACUCUUUCCGUCCGUUCUAAGAAUCAGUCAGAGGCCGGUGGGGAGGUCUCUUGACGCAAAGGGGAGGGGUGGCGUCCCUCCUCAGGCGCUUGUGUCGAAAAAUGAAGGCGAGAGACGCGAGCGGCCUGGUUGCUUUGGGUGCUGCCAGGAAGGAUGUGGUCUGACCCUUGCCUGAGCACAUCCAAAAGCAUGUGAUGUUGAGAGCAGACCUCGAGCCCCGCACAACCGGCUCUGGGAGUCGUUGGCCGCUAUUGUACAUAGUCCGGUCCUUCCUCUGCCACCCGGCAAGUGCGAUGGCUCUGUCGCCCUGUGGUGCCCGUCACCCAGGUUUGGGGAACACGAUACUAAGAACAUGUUGGCGGCUCGGGACCUGCAGGCGAAAGGGGCCCCGUGGUGCUGAGCACAUCGACCUCGGGUCUCAGUGCAAGCCAGAGAGUUCGCGGAAGUCUAAAGCUUUUGACAUACGCUCAAAUCUUUGACAGGCUUGCCCGACUCUUUCCGUCCGUUCUAAGAAUCAGUCAGAGGCCGGUGGGGAGGUCUCUUGACGCAAGGGGAGGGGUGGCGUCCCUCCUCAGGCGCUUGUGUCGAAAAAUGAAGGCGAGAGACACGAGCGGCCUGGUUGCUUUGGGUGCUGCCAGGAAGGAUGUGGUCUGACCCUUGCCUGAGCACUCACAGAAGCAUGUGACGUUGAGAGCAGACCUCGAGCCCCGCACGACCGGCUCUGGGAGUGGUUGGCCGCUAUGGUACAUAGUCCGGUCCUUCCUCUGCCACCCGGCAAGUGCGAUGGCUCUGCCGCCCUGUGGUGCCCGUCACCCAGGUUUGGGGAACACGAUACUAAGAACAUGUUGGCGGCUCGGGACCUGCAGGCGAAAGGGGCCCCGGGGUGCUUAGCACAUCGACCUCGUGUCUCAGUGCAAGCCGGAGGGUUCGCGGCAGUCUAAAGCUUUUGACAUUCGCUCAAAGCUUUGACAGGCUUGCCCGACUCUUUCCGUCCGUUCUAAGAAUCAGUCAGAGGCCAGUGCGGAGGUCUCUUGACACAAGGGGAGGGGUGGUGUCCCUCCUCAGGCGCUUGUGUCGAAAAUGAAGGCGGGAGACGCAAGCGUCCUGGUUCCCCCUGGGUGCUGCCAGCAAGGGUGCAGGCUGACCCUUGCCUGAGCACUCCCAAAAGCCUCUUAGGCUGAGAGCAGACGCCGCGCUACCGGCUCUGGGAGUCGUUGGCCGCUAUGGUACAUAGUCCGGUCCUUCCUCUGCCACCCGGCAAGUGCGAUGGCUCUGCCGCCCUGUGGUGCUCGUCACCCAGUUUUCCAACCCGGACCCGCGAGCGUGGUGCGAGGGGCGACUUCGCUGCGGUCCACACUUUGAUCGAUCUGGCUCCGACCGU